rfam:Pluralibacter gergoviae strain JS81F13 contig_1, whole genome shotgun sequence.
UCCGGCAGAAAAUCGCCUCAGAUUCCCGCCUCUGGCCGGGGCUGCCCGCAGGGAUGCGGGCAGAGGCGAAACGAGACAGGGAUGUCGAGUCGAGCCGUACCCGAUCAGCCAGAGGCGGGAAUCUGAGGUUCCGCGAAGCGG